UACAGAGGGUGCGAGCGUUGUUCGGAAUUACUGGGCGUAAAGCGCGCGCAGGCGGCCCUUUAAGUCUACCCGUGAAAUGCCGGAGCUCAACUCCGUGCACGCCGGGGGAUACUGGGGGGCUGGAGACAUGUAGAGGCAAGCGGAAUUCCGGGUGUAGCGGUGGAAUGACGUAGAUAUCCGGAAGAACACCUGAGGCGAAGGCGGCUUGCUGGGCAUGAUCUGACGCUGAGGCGCGAAAGCGUGGGGAGCAAACAGG
rnacentral:rRNA from 1 species